AACGUAGGUUCCGAGCGUUAUCCGGAUUUACUGGGCGUAAAGCGCGUUCAGGCGGUUUGGCAAGUCGGGCAUGAAACUCCUUCCGGGCUCAACCGGGGGAGGUUGUCCGAUACUGCUAAACUGGAGGGCAGUAGAGGUGGUGGAAUUCCGGGUGUAGUGGUGAAAUGCGUAGAGAUCCGGAGGAACACCAGUGGCGAAAGCGGCCACCUGGACUGUACCGUGACGCUGA
rnacentral:rRNA from 1 species